rnacentral:rRNA from 1 species
UACGGGGGGGGCAAGCGUUGUUCGGAAUUACUGGGCGUAAAGGGCUCGUAGGCGGCCAACUAAGUCAUACGUGAAAUCCCCCGGCUUAACCGGGGAACUGCGUCUGAUACUGGAUGGCUUGAGUUCGGGAGAGGGAUGCGGAAUUCCAGGUGUAGCGGUGAAAUGCGUAGAUAUCUGGAGGAACACCGGUGGCGAAAGCGGCGUGCUGGAUCCCUACUGACGCUGAGGCACGAAAGCCAGGGGAGCAAACGGG